rnacentral:lncRNA from 1 species
AAAUUUCAGUGGUGGUUCACCUAGCUGACUUUAAUUCUUCCUGGCGUGAUGCCAUCUAGAAUCAAAGAUCUAUCUCCUAGCAAGGCCAGAAUGAGAGAUCUGAUAUUCUGAUAACCAGGCAAUGCUCUUUUUCUCGUAUGAUUUCUCCUGACAGAUUUAUGCUUUCUGUAUUCUAUUUGCUACAUGACUGUCAGAUAAUAAGUUAUACCAUCUGGAAAUAGGUGGUACAAUUCUUGCAUAAAUAAUAUUAUCCUAAAUAAUGUCCUAAAUG